AGUCAUAUGCAAAUGCUUUCACAUCAAAAUGUUGCUUGGUAGCUAACUUAAUCUAGUUAUAACUUUGUCUGGCUGGACGUAACGUCAAUUAACGUUUUACUAAAUACGUUGGCUGGGUAGCUUGCUAGUUAUCCCAUUUAAAGCCCCAGAUACUAGGACAACGACCUUAAGAGAUGCAGCUUAAGUUAAUAGCCAGUCACCUUAGUGCCCCCCUAACAGCCCUGCAGUGUAAUACACGGACGUAACAGCGCCCCCCCCCCCAGGCCACGAGCAGGACUGCAGGAGCUUCAGUCUGAAAUGUGUUGGCCUUGAGGUCCCAGGAUCAACAGGACAAGAGGGAGGACAGCCAGGCAAGAGACCUGUAUGUGACCCUGACUCAACAGAAGAUAAAUUAAGUCCAGCUGACCACACAAUGUGUGAUGAAUUAACAGUGUCACAGCAUGUGACCCUCAGCUGAUCUCAGGUCACGCACCAGUGGGCAGGAGAGCACUAAGGCAGAGCAAUGGCAGAAUCAGAGCACACAACUCCUCAGAGCAAUGACCCACCACCUGUCUCUCGCUCUCUCUCUCUCUCAAUGUGGGCAGAGGGGCCACUAUCUAGUCUAGAGGUUGUGUGAAUCAAAUGCAGAGGUGUAAAUACAUCUCUGACCUUUAUCUGUCCAUAAUCACUCACCAGUCACUUCCUCCUGGCAGUAACUGUCCUAUGCCCCACUGAAAUUUGCUUUGUUUUCAUUCCAUGAAUAAAAAUAGCAGAGCAUUUCCUGUUUGCAUUUUAUUUGCAGGCAUUAGUGUUUAUGUGUGCGUGUUCUGCUGUGGUGCCAUGGCAGGGAGCCUCUACUCCCCUGUGUUCCCAGCAUUUUAAGAGAAGAUGGCUGCCACAGUUUAACAAACCAAUAUCUGAGGAAAGAGUGAAGCAGGGCCUCUCCUUUUUAAAAGGCAAUCCAUUCUCCUGGCCCUGUGGAAGCAUGCUUUAUUUAUCAGCAGCUACACAUAGAUAAGUGUGUGGAGGGGGGAUGGGAGAUUCACAGGCAUUGCCUUUUCCCUUUCUCUGGACCGGACCAUCACAAACACAUGCAGUAAUGGUGAAACUGAGCUCUGAUCCUGUGAUAAUUAUUCAGAGGUGCUUGUUCUGUGAGCCUCACUGUCCUGUUUCUCCAUUACUCCUGCUGGCU